CCGCCGGCGACCGGCGCACGGGUGAGUAACGCGUAUGCAACCUGCCCGUUUCAGCGGGAUAACCCGGAGAAAUCCGGCCUAAUACCGCAUGUGGCCGAGGGGAGGCAUCUUCUUUCGGCCAAAGGAGGCGACUCCGGAGACGGAUGGGCAUGCGUGACAUUAGCUUGUCGGCGGGGUAACGGCCCACCAAGGCGACGAUGUCUAGGGGUUCUGAGAGGAAGGUCCCCCACACUGGUACUGAGACACGGACCAGACUCCUACGGGAGGCAGCAG
rnacentral:rRNA from 1 species